ACUCCUACGGGAGGCAGCAGUGGGGAAUAUUGCACAAUGGGGGAAACCCUGAUGCAGCCAUGCCGCGUGUGUGAAGAAGGCCUUCGGGUUGUAAAGCACUUUCAGUAGGGAGGAAGGUAGUGUAGUUAACACCUGCAUUAUUUGACGUUACCUACAGAAGAAGCACCGGCUAACUCCGUGCCAGCAGCCGCGGUAAUACGGAGGGUGCGAGCGUUAAUCGGAAUUACUGGGCGUAAAGCGCAUGCAGGCGGCCUGUUAAGUCAGAUGUGAAAGCCCGGGGCUUAACCUCGGAAUUGCAUUUGAAACUGGCAGGCUAGAGUCUUGUAGAGGGGGGUAGAAUUUCAGGUGUAGCGGUGAAAUGCGUAGAGAUCUGAAGGAAUACCAGUGGCGAAGGCGGCCCCCUGGACAAAGACUGACGCUCAGAUGCGAAAAGCGUGGGGAGCAAAACAGGAUUAGAU
rnacentral:rRNA from 1 species